rnacentral:rRNA from 1 species
UUGUAGCUGGCUCCUAGGAGCAAUGUGCACGCCCGUCAUUCAUAUCAUCUUUCCACCUGUGAACCAUGUGUAGGCCUGGAUACCCCUCGCUUUGGCAACAAAGCGGAUGCAAGGAUUGCUGCGUCGACAAGGCCGGCUCUCUUUGAAUUUCCAGGUUCUAUGUCUUUUU